GAAUGAAGAAGGCCUUCGGGUUGUAAAGUUCUUUCGUGGGGGACGAAAAGGCGGAUCCGAAUACGGUCUGCUAUUGACGUGAACCCAAGAAGAAGCACCGGCUAACUCCGUGCCAGCAGCCGCGGUAAUACGGAGGGUGCGAGCGUUAAUCGGAAUCACUGGGCGUAAAGGGCGCGUAGGCGGUUGGUUACGUCUGCCGUGAAAUCCCCGGGCUCAACCUGGGAAUGGCGGUGGAAACGGGCUGACUAGAGUAUGGGAGAGGGUGAUGGAAUUCCAGGUGUAGCGGUGAAAUGCGUAGAGAUCUGGAGGAACAUCAGUGGCGAAGGCGGUCACCUGGCCCAAUACUGACGCUGAGGCGCGAAAGCGUGGGGAGCAAACAGGAUUAGAUACCCUGGUAGUCCACGCCCUAAACGAUGGAUACUAGAUGUUUGGUGCCUUAGGUGCUGAGUGUCGUAGCUAACGUGAUAAGUAUCCCGCCUGGGAAUACGGCCGCAAGGUUAAAACUCAAUGAAUUUGACGG
rnacentral:rRNA from 1 species